rnacentral:rRNA from 1 species
CCUACGGGUGGCUGCAGUGGGGAAUUUUGCGCAAUGGGCGAAAGCCUGACGCAGCGACGCCGCGUGAGGGAUGAAGGUCUUCGGAUCGUUAACCUCUGUCAGCAGGGAAGAACGGUCACUGUGCUAAUCAGCAGUGAAUUGACGGUACCUGCACAGGACGCACCGGCUAACUCCGUGCCAGCAGCCGCGGUAAUACGGAGGUUGCUAGCGUUCAUCGGAAUUUCUGGGCGUAAAGCGCUCGUAGGCGGUAUGUCAAGUCAAGGGUGAAAUCCGCGCGCUCAACGUGGGAACUGCCUAUGAAACUGGCAAACUGGAGUGUGGGAGAGGAUAGUGGAAUUCCAGGUGUAGGAGUGAAAUCCGUAGAUAUCGGGAGGAACAUCAGUGGCGAAGGCGAGUAUCUGGCACAUAACUGACGCUGAGGAGCGAAGGCGUGGGUAGCAAAAGGGAUUAGAUACCCGGGUAGUC